rnacentral:rRNA from 1 species
CGUAGGGGGCUAGCGUUGUCCGGAUUUAUCGGGCGUAAAGAGCGCGUAGGCGGCUAGGUAAGUCCGACGUGAAAUCUGGAGGCUCAACCUCCAGCGGUCGUUGGAAACUACUUGGCUAGAGUCCGGAAGAGGAGAGUGGAAUUCCUGGUGUAGCGGUGAAAUGCGCAGAUAUCAGGAAGAACACCGAUGGCGAAAGCAGCUCUCUGGGACGGUACUGACGCUGAGGCGCGAAAGCGUGGGGAGCGAACAGGAUUAGAUACCCUGGUAGUCCACGCCGUAAACGAUGGGUGCUAGGUGUGAGCGGUGUCGACUCCGCUCGUGCCGAAGCUAAUGCAUUAAGCACCCCGCCUGGGGAGUACGGCCGCAAGGCUA